rnacentral:tRNA from 23 species
GGCGGAUGUAGCCAAGUGGAUCAAGGCAGUGGAUUGUGAAUCCACCAUG